CAUAAGUGGCCACCUGUGCUAAUUACCUAUCUAGCGUUCUCCGAACACCUGUGUGUAAGCAUAACUAGGGAGGAAGUGUAGUUUGUCAACUGGAGGCACAUUCAGCUUGUGGAUCUGUGAAAAAAAGCUACAGCUGCCAUGGUAACUGGUUUUGCUGUGCACGCUGCCAGCCUUGCUGCGGGUGGAGGAGACGUGGCCCAGUGAGUGGAUUGGUCUGCGGUCAUCAAGGGCGUGUCUAGGGUCGUCAGGCUCGUCAAGAAUGGCCAGGAAGCUGGCCCAUUCGAAGCAGGUCUUCUUGCUGCCCACCCAGAAAACGGAGGGAAUCCCCACCACCAGCAUCAUCAGAACAUCCUCAAUUCGUCGGGGCAUGGACUCUACAAGGUG